ACAACAUUGGGACCGUCGGUCUACCGAGCAAUAUCGUCCGCUCGGUGGAAGAUCUUCCCUUUGUCAU
rnacentral:pre_miRNA from 1 species